AAAACGACUCUCGGCAACGGAUAUCUCGGCUCUCGCAUCGAUGAAGAACGUAGCGAAAUGCGAUACUUGGUGUGAAUUGCAGAAUCCCGUGAAUCAUCGAGUCUUUGAACGCAAGUUGCGCCCGACGCCAUUCGGCGGAGGGCACGUCUGCCUGGGUGUCAC
rnacentral:rRNA from 1 species